rnacentral:rRNA from 1 species
GGAUCCAGACUUUGAUCCUGGCUCAGGACGAACGCUGGCGGCGUGCCUAAUACAUGCAAGUCGAACGAAGCUUUCUUUCACCGAAUGCUUGCAUUCACCGAAAGGAGCUUAGUGGCGAACGGGUGAGUAACACGUAGGCAACCUGCCCAAAAGAGGGGGAUAACACUUGGAAACAGGUGCUAAUACCGCAUAACCAUGAACACCGCAUGAUGUUCAUGUAAAAGACGGCUUUUGCUGUCACUUUUGGAUGGGCCUGCGGCGUAUUAACUUGUUGGUGGGGUAACGGCCUACCAAGGUGAUGAUACGUAGCCGAACUGAGAGGUUGAUCGGCCACAUUGGGACUGAGACACGGCCCAAACUCCUACGGGAGGCAGCAGUAGGGAAUCUUCCACAAUGGACGAAAGUCUGAUGGAGCAACGCCGCGUGAAUGAAGAAGGCCUUCGGGUCGUAAAAUUCUGUUGCCAGAGAAGAACGUGCGUGAGAGUAACUGUUCACGUAUUGACGGUAUCUGACCAGAAAGCCACGGCUAACUACGUGCCAGCAGCCGCGGUAAUACGUAGGUGGCGAGCGUUGUCCGGAUUUAUUGGGCGUAAAGGGAACGCAGGCGGUCUUUUAAGUCUGAUGUGAAAGCCUUCGGCUUAACCGAAGUAGUGCAUUGGAAACUGGAAGACUUGAGUGCAGAAGAGGAGAGUGGAACUCCAUGUGUAGCGGUGAAAUGCGUAGAUAUAUGGAAGAACACCAGUGGCGAAAGCGGCUCUCUGGUCUGUAACUGACGCUGAGGUUCGAAAGCGUGGGUAGCAAACAGGAUUAGAUACCCUGGUAGUCCACGCCGUAAACGAUGAGUGCUAAGUGUUGGAGGGUUCCCGCCCUUCAGUGCUGCAGCUAACGCAUUAAGCACUCCGCCUGGGGAGUACGGUCGCAAG